rnacentral:rRNA from 1 species
AGAACACGACCGGCGCACGGGUGAGUAACGCGUAUGCAACCUACCUUUGGCACGGGGACAGCCCGGGGAAACCCGGAUUAAUACCCGGUAUAGUCUAUUAUACACCUGUAUAAAAGACGAGAGCUACGGCGGCCAAAGAUGGGCAUGCGUGCCAUUAGUUAGUUGGUAGGGUAACGGCCUACCAAGGCAUCGAUGGCUACGGGGUCUAAAAGGAUGAGCCCGCACACUGGUACUGAGACACGGACCAGACUCCUACGGGAGGCAGCAGUGAGGAAUAUUGGUCAAUGGGUGGAAGCCUGAACCAGCCAUGCCGCGUGCAGGAAGACGGCCUUAUGGGUUGUAAACUGCUUUUCUACGGGACGAACGGCUCUGACGUGUCAGAGAUUGACGGUACCGUAGGAAUAAGCAUCGGCUAACUCCGUGCCAGCAGCCGCGGUAAUACGGAGGAUGCGAGCGUUAUCCGGAUUUAUUAGGUUUAAAGGGUGCGUAGGCUGGGCAAUAAGUCAGUGGUGAAAGUCCGCGGCUCAACCGUGGGAUUGCCAUUGAAACUGUUGUUCUUGAGUACAGUCGAGGUAGGCGGAAUGUGUAAUGUAGCGGUGAAAUGCAUAGAUAUUACCCAGAACACCGAUUGCGUAGGCAGCUUACCAGCCUGGAACUGACGCUGAUGCACGAAAGCGUGGGGAGCGAACAGGAUUAGAUACCCUGGUAGUCCACGCCGUAAACGAUGAUCACUCGCUGUUGGCAAUAUAGAGUCAGCGGCUGAGCGGAAAGCAAUUAAGUGAUCCACCUGGGGAGUACGUCGGCAACGGAUGAAACUCAAAGGAAUUGNACAGGGGGCACACNGGC